rnacentral:tRNA from 1 species
GUUCCUGUAGUGUAGUGGCUAUCACGUUUGCUUUACACGCAAUAGGUCUCUGGUUCAAAACCAGACAGAAACA